rnacentral:rRNA from 1 species
AACGAACGCUGGCGGCGUGGCUAAGGCAUGCAAGUCGAACGCGAUUAGUCAACGGGUAACUGGAGACUAGUUGAGUGGCGAACGGGUGAGGAAUACAUGGGUAACGUACCUCGACACAGGGAUAACGGCGGGCUUCGGCUCCUUUGCGAAAGUGCCGCUAAUACCUGAUGAUCCAGCGUGGUCUCCUGAUCAUGCUGGAC